UACGGGGGGGGCAAGCGUUGUUCGGAAUUACUGGGCGUAAAGGGCGCGUAGGCGGCCUGCUAAGUCGGACGUGAAAUCCCUCGGCUCAACCGAGGAACUGCGUCCGAUACUGGUGGGCUUGAAUCCGGGAGAGGGAUGUGGAAUUCCAGGUGUAGCGGUGAAAUGCGUAGAUAUCUGGAGGAACACCGGUGGCGAAGGCGGCAUCCUGGACCGGUAUUGACGCUGAGGCGCGACAGCGUGGGGAGCAAACGGG
rnacentral:rRNA from 1 species